GACGAACGCUGGCGGCGUGCCUAAUACAUGCAAGUAGAACGCUGAAGGAGGAGCUUGCUUCUCUGGAUGAGUUGCGAACGGGUGAGUAACGCGUAGGUAACCUGCCUGGUAGCGGGGGAUAACUAUUGGAAACGAUAGCUAAUACCGCAUAAGAGUAGAUGUCGCAUGACAUUUGCUUAAAAGGUGCAAUUUCAUCACUACCAGAUGGACCUGCGUUGUAUUAGCUAGUUGGUGAGGUAACGGCUCAACAAGGCAACGAUACAUAGCCGACCUGAGAAGGUGAUCGGGCAAACUGGGAAUGGGACACGGCCCAGAAUCCUACGGGAGGCAGCAGUAGGGAAUCUUCGGCAAUGGACGGAAGUCUGAACGAGCAAAGCCGAGUGAGUGAAGAAGGGUGUCGGAUCGUAAAGCUCUGUUGUAAGAGAAGAAAGAGUGUGAGAGUGGAAAGUUCACACUGUGACGGUAUCUUACCAGAAAGGGACGGCUAACUACGUG
rnacentral:rRNA from 1 species